UACGUAGGGGGCAAGCGUUGUCCGGAAUCAUUGGGCGUAAAGCGCGUGUAGGCGGUUCGGUAAGUCGGCUGUGAAAGUCCAGGGCUCAACCCUGGGAUGCCGGUCGAUACUGCCGGACUAGAGUUCGGAAGAGGCGAGUGGAAUUCCCGGUGUAGCGGUGAAAUGCGCAGAUAUCGGGAGGAACACCAAUGGCGAAGGCAGCUCGCUGGGACGUUACUGACGCUGAGACGCGAAAGCGUGGGGAGCAAACAGG
rnacentral:rRNA from 1 species